AUUGAACGCUGGCGGCAUGCCUUACACAUGCAAGUCGAACGGUAACAGGUCUUCGGAUGCUGACGAGUGGCGAACGGGUGAGUAAUACAUCGGAACGUGCCUAGUAGUGGGGGAUAACUACUCGAAAGAGUGGCUAAUACCGCAUGAGAUCUACGGAUGAAAGCAGGGGAUCGCAAGACCUUGUGCUACUAGAGCGGCCGAUGGCAGAUUAGGUAGUUGGUGGGAUAAAAGCUUACCAAGCCGACGAUCUGUAGCUGGUCUGAGAGGACGAUUAGCCACACUGGGACUGAGACACGGCCCAGGCUCCUACGGGAGGCAGCAGUGGGAAAUUUUGGACAAUGGGCGAAAGCCUGAUCCAGCAAUGCCGCGUGCAGGAUGAAGGCCUUCGGGUUGUAAACUGCUUUUGUACGGAACGAAAAGCCCCGGGUUAAUACCCUGGGGUCAUGACGGUACCGUAAGAAUAAGCACCGGCUAACUACGUGCCAGCAGCCGCCGUAA
rnacentral:rRNA from 1 species